GCGAAAGUGGCGGAAUUGGUAGACGCACUGGAUUUAGGUUCCAGCGCCGCAAGGCGUGGGGGUUCGAGUCCCCCCUUUCGCA
rfam:Hydrogenophilales bacterium RIFOXYD1_FTLL_62_11 rifoxyd1_full_scaffold_476, whole genome shotgun sequence.